rnacentral:ribozyme from 12 species
CGAAGAAAAAAAAGAGGGAAGCUCUUAAGUUCUGCUCAUCACGCACUCUCAUCAGCCGCUGUUUGUUUGUGUUGUCGGUUUUUUUUUUUUUUUUUUUUUUUUUUUGUUC